GACGAACGCUGGCGGCGUGCCUAAUACAUGCAAGUCGAGCGAGACUCUUCGGAGUCUAGCGGCGGACGGGUGAGUAACACGUGGGCAACCUGCCUGUAAGACUGGGAUAACACCGGGAAACCGGUGCUAAUACCGGAUAAUCCUUUUCCUCUCAUGAGGAAAAGCUGAAAGUCGGUUUCGGCUGACACUUACAGAUGGGCCCGCGGCGCAUUAGCUAGUUGGUGAGGUAACGGCUCACCAAGGCGACGAUGCGUAGCCGACCUGAGAGGGUGGUCGGGCACACGGGGACUGAGACACGGCCCAGACUACUACGGGAGGCAGCAGUAGGGAAUCUUCCACAAUGGACGAAAGUCUGAUGGAGCAACGCCGCGUGAGCGAUGAAGGCCGUCGGGUCGUAAAGCUCUGUUGUUAGGGAAGAACAAGUACCGGAGUAACUGCCGGUACCUUGACGGUACCUAACCAGAAAGCCACGGCUAACUACGUGCCAGCCGCCGCUGUAACAC
rnacentral:rRNA from 1 species